GUAAUUACAUGACACGUAAAGCUGGAAAUGCAGUAUAUCCAGAGGGAGAUUGAUAAUUAGGUGAACUAACAAUAUAAAGUAUGUGAACAUAAUGCCACAUGCACAGAGCAUAAGUUGGAACAGGGUUAAAGUAGACAGUGAGGAGGUGUGAUGGAGGUGGUGAAGUUUACAGACAGAUGUUUUCUGGUUAGUUGGUAUGCUUCCCUAAACAUAUUGUUUGUUAUGGAUUUUUUUAAAGAACCAGAGACUUGGAAAUUCUAAUGGCGUGAGGAAUGGCAUUCCAGAAAUAUGGAAAAUCCUGGAGAACUCACAGAAGAAAGACUUUGUGUUGAGAGUGCAAUACUGAAUACUGAAGACGUUUUCAUAAUUAGAAUUCUAAAGAAUUUUGUAAGUGCAUAGACAUCAGGGGCGUACCUAGAGCAUUUGGCACCC